rnacentral:rRNA from 1 species
UACGUAGGUGGCAAGCGUUGUCCGGAUUUAUUGGGCGUAAAGCGAGCGCAGGCGGUUCUUUAAGUCUGAUGUGAAAGCCCACGGCUUAACCGUGGAGGGUCAUUGGAAACUGGGGAACUUGAAUGCAGAAGAGGAAAGUGGAAUUCCAUGUGUAGCGGUGAAAUGCGUAGAUAUAUGGAGGAACACCAGUGGCGAAGGCGACUUUCUGGUCUGUAAUUGACGCUGAGGCUCGAAAGCGUGGGGAGCGAACAGG